rnacentral:rRNA from 1 species
AACGAACGCUGGCGGCAGGCCUAACACAUGCAAGUCGAGCGCCCUGCAAGGGGAGCGGCGGACGGGUGAGUAACGCGUGGGAACGUGCCCUUUGCUACGGAAUAGCCUCGGGAAACUGGGAGUAAUACCGUAUGUGCCCUUCGGGGGAAAGAUUUAUCGGCAAAGGAUCGGCCCGCGUUGGAUUAGGUAGUUGGUGGGGUAAUGGCCUACCAAGCCGACGAUCCAUAGCUGGUUUGAGAGGAUGAUCAGCCACACUGGGACUGAGACACGGCCCAGACUCCUACGGGAGGCAGCAGUGGGGAAUCUUAGACAAUGGGCGCAAGCCUGAUCUAGCCAUGCCGCGUGAGCGAUGAAGGCCUUAGGGUUGUAAAGCUCUUUCGUGGGGGAAGAUAAUGACUGUACCCCAAGAAGAAGCCCCGGCUAACUCCGUGCCAGCAGCCGCGGUAAUAC